rnacentral:rRNA from 1 species
CCUUCCGUGCCGCAGUUAACACAAUAAGUAAUCCACCUGGGGAGUACGCCGCAAGGUUGAAACUCAAAGGAAUUGACGGGGGCCCGCACAAGCGGUGGAGCAUGUGGUUUAAUUCGAAGCAACGCGAAGAACCUUACCAGAUCUUGAGAUCCGGAUGAAUACGUGGUAAUGCAUGUAGACCUUCGGGACAUCCGAGACAGGUGGUGCAUGGUUGUCGUCAGCUCGUGUCGUGAGAUGUUGGGUUAAGUCCCGCAACGAGCGCAACCCUUGUCCAUAGUAGCCAGCAGUAAGAUGGGAACUCUAUGGAGACUGCCAGGGAUAACCUGGAGGAAGGUGGGGAUGACGUCAAAUCAUCAUGCCCCUUAUGAUCUGGGCCACACACGUGCUACAAUGUCGUAACAAAGGGACGCGACCCCGCGAGGGUGAGCAAAUCUCAAAAAUAACGACCCAGUUCGGACUGUAGGCUGCAACCCGCCUGCACGAAGCUGGAAUCGCUAGUAAUCGCAGAUCAGAAUGCUGCGGUGAAUACGUUCCCGGGUCUUGUACACACCGCCCGUCACACCAUGAGAGUCGGGAACACCCGAAGUCCGUAGUCUAACCGCAAGGAGGGCGCGGCCGAAGGUGGGCUUGAUAAUUGGGGUG